AACGCGAAGAACCUUACCUAAGCUUGACAUCCUUUUGACCGAUGCCUAAUCGCAUCUUUCCCUUCGGGGACAGAAGUGACAGGUGGUGCAUGGUUGUCGUCAGCUCGUGUCGUGAGAUGUUGGGUUAAGUCCCGCAACGAGCGCAACCCUUGCCUUUAGUUGCCAGCAUUAAGUUGGGCACUCUAGAGGGACUGCCAGGGAUAACCUGGAGGAAGGUGGGGAUGACGUCAAAUCAUCAUGCCCCUUAUGCUUAGGGCUACACACGUGCUACAAUGGGUGGUACAGAGGGCAGCCAAGUCGUGAGGCGGAGCUAAUCCCUUAAAGCCUAUUCUCGAGUUUUUCC
rnacentral:rRNA from 1 species